GAGUUUGAUCGUGGCUCAGGAUGAACGCCGGCGGUGUGCCUAAUACAUGCAAGUCGUACGCACUGGCCCAACUGAUUGAUGGUGCUUGCACCUGAUCGACGAUGGAUCACCAGUGAGUGGCGGACGGUGAGUAACACGUAGGUAACCUGCCCUGUACAGGGGAUAACAAUCAGAAAUGACUGCUAAUACCGCAUAAGACCACAGCACCGCAUGGUGCAGGGGUAAAAACUCCGGUGGUACAGGAUGGACCCGCGUCUGAUUAGCUGGUUGGUGAGGUAACGGCUCACCAAGGCGACGAUCAGUAGCCGGCUUGAGAGAGUGAACGGCCACAUUGGGACUGAGACACGGCCCAAACUCCUACGGGAGGCAGCAGUGGGGAAUAUUGCACAAUGGGGAAACCCUGAUGCAGCAACGCCGCGUGAGUGAAGAAGUAUUUCGGUAUGUAAAGCUCUAUCAGCAGGGAAGAAAGUGACGGUACCUGACUAAGAAGCCCCGGCUAACUA
rnacentral:rRNA from 1 species